rnacentral:rRNA from 1 species
UACGUAGGUGACCAGCGUUGUCCGGAUUUACUGGGCGUAAAGAGCGCGCAGGCGGUCGUUCAAGUCGAGUGUGAAAGCCCCCGGCUCAACUGGGGAGGGUCACUUGAUACUGAUCGACUCGAAGGCAGGAGAGGGAAGCGGAAUUCCCGGUGUAGUGGUGAUAUGCGUAGAUAUCGGGAGGAACACCAGUGGCGAAGGCGGCUUCCUGGCCUGUUCUUGACGCUGAGGCGCGAAAGCUAGGGGAGCAAACGGG